rnacentral:rRNA from 1 species
GACGAACGCUGGCGGCGUGCCUAAUACAUGCAAGUCGAACGCACUCUCGUUUAGAUUGAAGGAGUUUGCUCCUGAUUGAUAAACAUUUGAGUGAGUGGCGGACGGGUGAGUAACACGUGGGUAACCUGCCCUAAAGUGGGGGAUAACAUUUGGAAACAGAUGCUAGUACCGCAUAAAACCUAACACCGCAUGGUGUAGGGUUGAAAGAUGGUUUCGGCUAUCACUUUAGGAUGGACCCGCGGUGCAUUAGUUAGUUGGUGAGGUAAAGGCUCACCAAGACCGUGAUGCAUAGCCGACCUGAGAGGGUAAUCGGCCACACUGGGACUGAGACACGGCCCAGACUCCUACGGGAGGCAGCAGUAGGGAAUCUUCCACAAUGGACGAAAGUCUGAUGGAGCAACGCCGCGUGAGUGAAGAAGGUUUUCGGAUCGUAAAACUCUGUUGUUGGAGAAGAAUGUAUCUGAUAGUAACUGAUCAGGUAGUGACGGUAUCCAACCAGAAAGCCACGGCUAACUACGUG